AGCUCCAAUAGCGUAUAUUAAAGUUGUUGCAGUUAAAAAGCUCGUAGUUGGAUUUGUGGUGUACUUCGGCGGCCCAUCACUAUGUGGUGGAGCUUGCUGAAGUCGCCAUCCUUGGGUGGAUCCUGUGUGGCAUUAAGUUGUCGUGCAGGGGAUGCCCAUCGUUUACUGUGAAAAAAUUAGAGUGUUCAAAGCAGGCUUAUGCCGUUGAAUAUGUUAGCAUGGAAUAAUAAGAUAGGACCUUGGUACUAUUUUGUUGGUUUGCGCACCAAGGUAAUGAUUAAUAGGGACAGUUGGGGGUAUUCGUAUUUCAUUGUCAGAGGUGAAAUUCUUGGAUUUUUGAAAGACGAACUACUGCGAAAGCAUUUACCAAGGAUGUUUUCAUUAAUCAAGAACGAAAGUA
rnacentral:rRNA from 1 species